rnacentral:rRNA from 1 species
GAUGAACGCUGGCGGCGUGCUUAACACAUGCAAGUCGAACGAUGAAGCCCAGCUUGCUGGGUGGAUUAGUGGCGAACGGGUGAGUAACACGUGAGUAACCUGCCCUUAACUCUGGGAUAAGCCUGGGAAACUGGGUCUAAUACCGGAUAGGAGCGCCUACCGCAUGGUGGGUGUUGGAAAGAUUUAUCGGUUUUGGAUGGACUCGCGGCCUAUCAGCUUGUUGGUGAGGUAAUGGCUCACCAAGGCGACGACGGGUAGCCGGCCUGAGAGGGUGACCGGCCACACUGAGACUGAGACACGGCCCAGACUCCUACGGGAGGCAGCAGUGGGGAAUAUUGCACAAUGGGCGCAAGCCUGAUGCAGCGACGCCGCGUGAGGGAUGACGGCCUUCGGGUUGUAAACCUCUUUCAGUAGGGAAGAAGCGAAAGUGACGGUACCUGCAGAAGAAGCACCGGCUAACUACGUG